rnacentral:rRNA from 1 species
GAUGAACGCUAGCGGCAGGCCUAACACAUGCAAGUCGAGGGGGAAGUUACUUUCGGGUGACUGAGACCGGCGUACGGGUGCGUAACGCGUAUACAAUCUGCCUUUCACUGGGGGAUAGCCCGAAGAAAUUUGGAUUAAUACCCCAUAGUAUAUAGGGACGGCAUCGUUUUUAUAUUAAAGCUUAGGUGGUGAAAGAUGAGUAUGCGUUCUAUUAGCUAGUUGGAGAGGUAACGGCUCCCCAAGGCGAUGAUAGAUAGGGGUUCUGAGAGGGAUGUCCCCCACACUGGUACUGAGUUACGGACCAGACUCCUACGGGAGGCAGCAGUGAGGAAUAUUGGACAAUGGUCGGAAGACUGAUCCAGCCAUGCCGCGUGCAGGAUGAAGGUCUUAUGGAUUGUAAACUGCUUUUGUAAGGGAAGAAUAAGGGCUACGCGUAGUUUGAUGACGGUACCUUACGAAUAAGCAUCGGCUAACUCCGUG